UACAGAGGAGCCAAGCGUUGUCCGGAUUGACUGGGCGUAAAGCGCACGCAGGCGGUCGCGCGCGUGGGGUGUGAAAUCUGGCCGCUUAACGGCCAGGCGCCAUCCCAUACGGCGCGACUGGAGGCUUGCAGAGGUCGGUGGAAUUGCCGGUGUAGCGGUGAAAUGCGCAGAUAUCAGGAGGAACACCGGUGGCGAAGGCGGGUCUCUGGGCCGAUACUGACGCUGAGGAGCGAAAGCGUGGGGAGCAAACAGG
rnacentral:rRNA from 1 species